UCGAGGAUCUUCGUCAAUGGGGGAAACCCUGAACGAGCGAUGCCGCGUGAGCGAUGAAGGCCUUCGGGUUGUAAAGCUCAAAAGAGGUGAGAAAGGGAAACUUGAUCAAACCUCAGUAAGCUCGGGCUAAGUUCGUGCCAGCAGCCGCGGUAAUACGUAGGGACCAAGCGUUGUUCGGAUUUACUGGGCGUAAAGGGCGCGUAGGCGGCAUGACAAGUCACUUGUGAAAUCUCUGGGCUUAACCCAGAACGGCCAAGUGAUACUGUCGCGCUAGAGUGCAGAAGGGGCAAUCGGAAUUCUUGGUGUAGCGGUGAAAUGCGUAGAUAUCAAGAGGAACACCUGAGGUGAAGACGGGUUGCUGGGCUGACACUGACGCUGAGGCGCGAAAGCUAGGGUAGCAAACGGGAUUAGAUACCCAAGUAGUCCCUGAGCGGGCUGGCAAGGCGCAU
rnacentral:rRNA from 1 species